AUUGAACGCUGGCGGCAGGCCUAACACAUGCACGUCGAACGAGUGGCGGACAGGUUAGGAUUGUCUGUGAAACUGCCUGAUGGAGGGGGAUAACUACUGGAAACAGUAGCUCAUACCGCAUAACAGCAGGUGUGCCCCGAUGGGUAUGGCGAGUUGGUUGGGUAACGGCUCACCAAGGCGACGCUCCCUAGCUGGUAUGAGAGGAUGACCAGACAAACUGGAACUGAGACACUGUCCAGACUCCUACGGUAGGCAGCAGUGGGGAAUAUUGCACAAUGGGCGCAAGCCGGAUGCAGCCAUGCCGCGUGUAUGAAGAAGGCCUUCGGGUUGUAAAGUACUUUCAGCGGGGAGGCGUGACCCGCAGAAGAAGCACCGGCUAACUCCGUGCCAGCAGCCGCGGUAAUUC
rnacentral:rRNA from 1 species